AUCAAAUUUUCUGCCACUGAGUUUUGGUCCUAUAGAAUUUAUUUUGAUUAAGAGCAAUAAUUUUAAAUCAAAGGAAAUUCUAUAGGACCAUAACUCAGCGGCAGAACAUCUGUU